rnacentral:rRNA from 1 species
CAGGAUGAACGCUAGCGGGAGGCCUAACACAUGCAAGCCGAGCGGUAGAGUUUCUUCGGGGACUUGAGAGCGGCGCACGGGUGCGGAACACGUGUGCAACCUGCCUUUAUCUGGGGGAUAGCCUUUCGAAAGGAAGAUUAAUACCCCAUAAUAUUUAGAAUGGCAUCAUUUUAAAUUGAAAACUCCGGUGGAUAGAGAUGGGCACGCGCAAGAUUAGAUAGUUGGUGAGGUAACGGCUCACCAAGUCUGCGAUCUUUAGGGGGCCUGAGAGGGUGAUCCCCCACACUGGUACUGAGACACGGACCAGACUCCUACGGGAGGCAGCAGUGAGGAAUAUUGGACAAUGGGUGAGAGCCUGAUCCAGCCAUCCCGCGUGAAGGACGACGGCCCUAUGGGUUGUAAACUUCUUUUGUAUAGGGAUAAACCUACUCUCGUGAGAGUAGCUGAAGGUACUAUACGAAUAAGCACCGGCUAACUCCGUGCCAGCAGCCGCGGUAAUACGGAGGGUGCAAGCGUUAUCCGGAUUUAUUGGGUUUAAAGGGUCCGUAGGCUGAUGUGUAAGUCAGUGGUGAAAUCUCACAGCUUAACUGUGAAACUGCCAUUGAUACUGCAUGUCUUGAGUGUUGUUGAAGUAGCUGGAAUAAGUAGUGUAGCGGUGAAAUGCAUAGAUAUUACUUAGAACACCAAUUGCGAAGGCAGGUUACUAAGCAACAACUGACGCUGAUGGACGAAAGCGUGGGGAGCGAACAGGAUUAGAUACCCUGGUAGUCCACGCCGUAAACGAUGCUAACUCGUUUUUGGGAUGUAAAUUUCAGAGACUAAGCGAAAGUGAUAAGUUAGCCACCUGGGGAGUACGAACGCAAGUUUGAAACUCAAAGGAAUUGACGGGGGCCCGCACAAGCGGUGGAUUAUGUGGUUUAAUUCGAUGAUACGCGAGGAACCUUACCAAGGCUUAAAUGGGAAUUGAUCGGUUUAGAAAUAGACCUUCCUUCGGGCAAUUUUCAAGGUGCUGCAUGGUUGUCGUCAGCUCGUGCCGUGAGGUGUUAGGUUAAGUCCUGCAACGAGCGCAACCCCUGUCACUAGUUGCCAUCAUUAAGUUGGGGACUCUAGUGAGACUGCCUACGCAAGUAGAGAGGAAGGUGGGGAUGACGUCAAAUCAUCACGGCCCUUACGCCUUGGGCCACACACGUAAUACAAUGGCCGGUACAGAGGGCAGCUACACAGCGAUGUGAUGCAAAUCUCGAAAGCCGGUCUCAGUUCGGAUUGGAGUCUGCAACUCGACUCUAUGAAGCUGGAAUCGCUAGUAAUCGCGCAUCAGCCAUGGCGCGGUGAAUACGUUCCCGGGCCUUGCACACACCGCCCGUC